rnacentral:rRNA from 1 species
UACAGAGGGUGCAAGCGUUAAUCGGAAUUACUGGGCGUAAAGCGUGCGUAGUCGGUUAUUUAAGUCGGGCGUGAAAGCCCCGGGCUUAACCUGGGAAUUGCGUUCGAUACUGGAUAGCUAGAGUUCGGCAGAGGGAAGCGGAAUUUCUGGUGUAGCGGUGAAAUGCGUAGAUAUCAGAAGGAACAUCAGUGGCGAAAGCGGCUUCCUGGACCAGAACUGACGAUCAGGCACGAAAGCGUGGGGAGCAAACAGG